rnacentral:rRNA from 1 species
GAUGAACGCUGACAGAAUGCUUAACACAUGCAAGUCUUUGGCGAAUCUGUGCUUGCACUGGCUAGCCAAGGCGGACGGGUGAGUAACGCGUUAAGAACUUGCUCUGCAGACAGGGAUAACAGACUGAAACGACUGAUAACACCUGAUACAGUUGCCGGCACGCAUGUGCCUGGCAAUGAAAAGAGAUGCUGCAGGAGAGCUUUGCGUCCUAUUAGCUUGUUGGUGAGGUGACGGCUCACCAAGGCGAUGAUAGGUAGCCGGCCUGUGAGGGUGAACGGCCACCAGGGGACUGAGAUACGGCCCUUACUGCUGCGGGAGGCAGAAGGGGGGAAUAUUGGACGAUGGGGGCAACCCUGAUCCAGCAAUUCUGUGUGGACGAAGAAGCUUUUCGGAUUGUAAAGUGCUUUCAGUAGGGAAGAAGAAAGUGACGGUACCUGCAGAAGAAGCGACGGCUAAAUACGUG